rnacentral:rRNA from 1 species
AUGAACGCUGGCGGCGUGCCUAAUACAUGCCAGUCGAGCGAACGGACGAGAAGCUUACUUCUCUGAUGUUAGCGGCGGACGGGUGAGUAACACGUGGAUAACCUACCUAUAAGACUGGGAUAACUUCGGGAAACCGGAGCUAAUACCGGAUAAUAUUUUGAACCGCAUGGUUCAAAAGUGAAAGACGGUCUUGCUGUCACUUAUAGAUGGAUCCGCGCUGCAUUAGCUAGUUGGUAAGGUAACGGCUUACCAAGGCAACGAUGCAUAGCCGACCUGAGAGGGUGAUCGGCCACACUGGAACUGAGACACGGUCCAGACUCCUACGGGAGGCAGCAGUAGGGAAUCUUCCGCAAUGGGCGAAAGCCUGACGGAGCAACGCCGCGUGAGUGAUGAAGGUCUUCGGAUCGUAAAACUCUGUUAUUAGGGAAGAACAUAUGUGUAAGUAACUGUGCACAUCUUGACGGUACCUAAUCAGAAAGCCACGGCUAACUACGUG